rnacentral:rRNA from 1 species
GACGAACGCUGGCGGCGUGCUUAACACAUGCAAGUCGAGCGGUAAGGCCCUUUCGGGGGUACACGAGCGGCGAACGGGUGAGUAACACGUGGGUGACCUGCCCUCAGCUCUGGGAUAAGCCUGGGAAACUGGGUCUAAUACCGGAUAUGACUCCAUGACGCAUGUUGUGGGGUGGAAAGCCUUGUGCGGCUGAGGAUGGGCCCGCGGCCUAUCAGCUUGUUGGGGGGUGAUGGCCUACCAAGGCGACGACGGGUAGCCGGCCUGAGAGGGCGACCGGCCACACUGGGACUGAGACACGGCCCAGACUCCUACGGGAGGCAGCAGUGGGAAUCUUGCGCAAUGGGCGAAAGCCUGACGCAGCGACGCCGCGUGAGGGAUGACGG